rnacentral:other from 1 species
GAUUUCCUGGAGUGUUCGUCAGUGGGUUAUGUCCCUGAGCCGAUACUUAAAAUCUUAUAAAUCGGUUUCCCGUCAUUGGUGUGUAGGCUUGGCCUUUAUUAUUCAAUAAUAAAGGAACUAAGAAACCUAAAAAUGACCUUAUCGAUUUCCUUGAACCGUCGGGUUCAAGGACUGCCACCCGCAACGGCACUCUGGGUCCUUU